rnacentral:rRNA from 1 species
AUGGCUGUCGUCAGCUCGUGUCGUGAGAUGCUGGGUUAAGUCCCGCAACGAGCGCAACCCUUGUCAUUAGUUGCUACAUUUGGUUGGGCACUCUAAUGAGACUGCCGGUGACAAACCGGAGGAAGGUGGGGAUGACGUCAAGUCCUCAUGGCCCUUAUGGGUAGGGCUUCACACGUCAUACAAUGGUCGGGACAGAGGGUUGCCAAGCCGCGAGGCGGAGCCAAUCUCAGAAACCCGAUCGUAGUCCGGAUCGCAGUCUGCAACUCGACUGCGUGAAGUCGGAAUCGCUAGUAAUCGCGGAUCAGCAUGUCGCGGUGAAUACGUUCCCGGGUCUUGUACACACCGCCCGU